rnacentral:lncRNA from 1 species
UUGAGGGUUUGAUAAAGCAGUUGAGAAAAAUGACAGUUUCUUUAUGGAUGGAACUGUCAUGUGAAGCUUCUAUAUUAAUGUCAGAAUAGUCCCUUCUGAAACACGAGUUUUUUCUCAAAAUUAGUCCCAUUACUAAGAGAAUAUCAAGGUGGAUUCAGGAGAAGGCUGUCAUGGACAAUGCAAGUGCAUCGAAAAUCAGUUUCCAUUGAGGAGGAUUAG